rnacentral:rRNA from 1 species
AGUGAACGCUGGCGGUAGGCCUAACACAUGCAAGUCGAACGGCAGCACAGGAGAGCUUGCUCUCUGGGUGGCGAGUGGCGGACGGGUGAGGAAUACAUCGGAAUCUACUCUGUCGUGGGGGAUAACGGAGGGAAACUUACGCUAAUACCGCAUACGACCUACGGGUGAAAGCAGGGGAGCUUCGGACCUUGCGCGAUUGAAUGAGCCGAUGUCGGAUUAGCUAGUUGGCGGGGUAAAGGCCCACCAAGGGGACGAUCCGUAGCUGGUCUGAGAGGAUGAUCAGCCACACUGGAACUGAGACACGGUCCAGACUCCUACGGGAGGCAGAAGUGGGGAAUAUUGGACAAUGGGCGCAAGCCUGAUCCAGCCAUACCGCGUGGGUGAAGAAGGCCUUCGGGUUGUGAAGCCCUUUUGUUGGGAAAGAAAUCCAGCUGGCUAAUACCCGGUUGGGAUGACGGUACCCAAAGAAUAAGCACCGGCUAACUUCGUGCCAGCCGCCGCCGUAA